rnacentral:rRNA from 1 species
GAUCCUGGCUCAGGAUGAACGCUAGCUACAGGCUUAACACAUGCAAGUCGGAGGGGCAGCAUAUUUCUAGCAAUAGAGAUGAUGGCGACCGGCGCACGGGUGAGUAACACGUAUCCAACCUGCCUUAUACUCGGGGAUAGCCUUUCGAAAGAAAGAUUAAUACCCGAUGUUAUAGUCUAACCGCAUGAUUUGACUAUAAAAGAUUUUCGGUAUAAGAGUGGGGAUGCGUUCCAUUAGA